rnacentral:lncRNA from 1 species
CUCCCGAGUGCUGGGAUUACAGGUGUGUGCCACCAUGCCCGGCCUUUAAACUUACUAUUUUUAUAAAAAUACAUUUGGACUAAGUUUGAUAAGCAAUGGAGAACUACAGAAGAGUUUCAAAGAAGACAGCCAAUGAUGCUAUUGACAGCGCUUGUCAACUGAUGCGCUGCCAGAAAAACAGAGGUCUCCAGGCUCUGAGUCCCACCAGUGGAGUGUGACAGGAGCAGAUCUCAGACUCUUCUCAUCAGCCGCACUGUCCCAGUGUGAUGGACCCAGAAACUGAGCCCAGUUGACUGUGCUGGGACAGGAAUUCAGCGGACACCGA